rnacentral:rRNA from 1 species
CCUACGGGAGGCAGCAGUGAGGAAUCUUCCACAAUGGACGAAAGUCUGAUGGAGCGACACCGCGUGAAGGAUGACGGUCUAACGAUUGUAAACUUCUUUUCUGAAGGAGCAUAAUGAGAGUACUUCAGGAAUAAGGGACGGCUAAUUACGUGCCAGCAGCCGCGGUAAUACGUAAGUCCCAAGCGUUACUCGAAAUUACUGGGUGUAAAGCGUUUGUAGGCGGAUGAAAAAGUCAGAUAUGAAAGACCGAGGCUCAACCUCGUGUAUGUAUUUGAAACUAUUCAUCUAGAAUCAGGGAGAGGUAAGCGGAAUUCUAAGUGUAGGGGUGCAAUCCGUAGAUACUUAGAAGAACACCAAAAGCGAAGGCAGCUUACUGGAACUCGAUUGACGCUGAGAAACGAAAGCGUGGGGAGCGAAGAGGAUUAGAUACCCUAGUAGUC